rnacentral:rRNA from 1 species
CAAUAGCGUAUAUUAAAGUUGUUGCGGUUAAAAAGCUCGUAGUUGGAUUUCUGCCGAGGACGACCGGUCCGCCCUCUGGGUGUGUAUCUGGUUUGGCCUGGGCAUCUUCUUGGAGAACGUAGCUGCACUUGACUGUGUGGUGCGGUGUCCAGGACUUUUACUUUGAGGAAAUUAGAGUGUUUCAAGCAGGCACACGCCUUGAAUACAUUAGCAUGGAAUAAUAAGAUAGGACCUCGGUUCUAUUUUGUUGGUUUCUAGAGCUGAGGUAAUGAUUAAUAGGGAUAGUUGGGGGCAUUCGUACUCCGACGUUAGAGGUGAAAUUCUUGGAUCGUCGGAUGACGCACUACUGCGAAAGCAUUUGCCAAGAAUGUUUUCAUUAA